GUCAGCACCACCAGCUGGGUGCAGGCGAGAGGACCAGCUCUUGCAGGUAGCACAAGCGGGGCUUUCUGCCCCGGCUGAUGCCCUGACCCCCAGCCAGGAGCGCUCUGAGCGGGUUUUGCUCCGUGAUGUGAGCAGCAGCAGCAGGUGGCAUGGGCCGGGCGGGGGAGAGAGCUGCUUGCUUUUGGUUUUCGACCCUCAUCUUCGUUUCACAUGAGUCAUGUUACGUUCUGAGCUGAGUAACUGCUGGGGCUAUUUUUACUCCAGCUCAGCAAAGCUUCCUUCUCGCUGCCGCCACCGCCACUGCCGCUCGCUGUGGACCCGGGGGCAAAGGAUGGGGACACGAGUGCGGGAGACAGCACCAGUGGCUCCACUUUGAGGCUUGUCAAGGCUCAGCGCACGCACACAAACACACACUCACAACCCAGAGCAAAAACAUUUGCUCUCACCUGUCUCCAAACCCAAAGCAAACCUCCCGAUCAAGCCAACUCUUGGAACGAGAAGGCACCCGAGCCAGAAUCUAAUGUAAGGGGAAGAAAUUCAGUGCACACUGGCAACUUUUCUCUAAAAAGCGAGUGGCAAAAAGGAAGGAAAGGAGCAUUUUAAGAAGAGGACAACUUAAGGAAGAAGAUUUCAUUUUUUGGAUUUCACUCCAAACUUUGGAAAAGUUUUUUUUUCCUUUUAGUUACUAUUCUGUGCACCUUCUUCUAAGAACAUUGAGACAUUGUUACCUGCAUGUAAAAGCUUUUACAGGUACAUAUUUUUUUUAAAAGGGAAGAAAACCAAGAGGAAACCAAGAGGGAUGUGGACCACCUAGCCAAAGGCACCACUGAAGCAUCCCUUGCGCCAAGGGGGACCCAGACUCUGGAUGUGCAUAAUUCCGAGGGACUGCAUUUUUUUCCCACCGGGCUUAUGAGAUAGCGCAGAGGCAGGCGAGUCACCGAGAAUUACUUGUCUCCCCUCACCACCAGCACCAGCACCUCCACGUCCUCCUCCAAGGGCUCCCGCGGCUCUCCCACCUCCUCCCGGCUCGCAGG
rnacentral:lncRNA from 1 species